UACGUAGGGCGCAAGCGUUGUCCGGAAUUAUUGGGCGUAAAGCGCGCGCAGGUGGUUUCUUAAGUCUGAUGUGAAAGCCCACGGCUCAACCGUGGAGGGUCAUUGGAAACUGGGAGACUUGAGUGCAGAAGAGGAAAGUGGAAUUCCAUGUGUAGCGGUGAAAUGCGUAGAGAUAUGGAGGAACACCAGUGGCGAAGGCGACUUUCUGGUCUGUAACUGACACUGAGGCGCGAAAGCGUGGGGAGCAAACAGG
rnacentral:rRNA from 1 species